rnacentral:lncRNA from 1 species
AAUGAGAAAGUUUCACAUCGAUCUAACAACAUCUGAAUAAGCAGAGCAGACUGAAAUAAAUAAUACUUUGAUAGGCAGCAAAAGAAACUGUAAUAAAAGUAGUGUUUACUAAGUGCUGACCGAAGAUGAAAACAUUCAUAUAACCAGUCGUUCCACACACAGGUAAAUCUUUUGGAUGUAGAACGACUGGUUAUAUUAAUGUUUGCUGAGUGAAACUGAGCCAGAACGGAUGCUCCACCGCCCUAUAUUUUUUUCCUGGCUGUACGUAUCAUAAAAGUUCUCAAUCGUAUAUAUGACCCCUUUUUGGAACUCAUUUUCAUAGAUACACAUCCUAUGUGUGGGGAUCAUUCCUUCCAUUGUGUUGCCCUGAAAAGUUGUACAUAGACUGAAUCAUAUAAUCUGCUGCAAUGAGAUGUGAGAUUGUAGUUCGGUUAUGAAUUUUACCUUGUGAUCAACCAUAAGGAAAUUUGGACCAUGUAACACAAUAGAAUCCAUAUUAGAGUGUUCCCACAUUCUCAUGAUACGAACGGUGAGCUUCAUCUACUAUAAGUGUCUGGCUAUAUACAAUGAUCCCUCCGUGAGCAAGAUUUGGCACCUAUGUAUAAAAUAACUUCAGAUACAUAGUCAAUGCACAAUCUUUUAUAAUUUUGAUAAAAAAAUACAGUACUGCAAGUUUGGUAAACCCAAGAAGAUUUGAAAAUAUAGGGCUCGAAUUAUUACUAUAAAUGAGCUUAUAAAUCAGCAUAGUCAGCUCCUGGAUUGGCAAGGACCAUCAGGGAACAAAGAAAACCUUAGUCACAGUGGGAGGAGGAGAGGCGAGUACUUCUUGGGGUAGCCAGUGGCCCCGAUGUAGGAGGAGUCACCGCUUUGGAGCAUACGCGGACAUGAUGCACGCAAGCACAGAGUAGGCGCCAUGAUGGACCCAUGAAACCAUAUGCCUCCAAGGGCUUGGAAUGGCAACAUCUUGUUGCUGCAGAAUGACUUUGCGUUCAGCAGGAUCCAAGCAUGGCCCCUUGAUAUGAUUAUGCUUGUAAACAGGAAAAUCUUGGACAAAUGCUAGAUAGUCAAGCUGAAGUUACUCGUCUAAUGGAAUAUGUCAGUGUCCAUAGAGAAUUAAUUUCUGUCAUCUGAAAUGGGGCAAAACAUACUUCUUAAAUCCUGAAGAAUACUUUUCAAGUGUUGAUUCUGUAUGUAUUCUCAUAGCUUACUGAAGCUUCACUUUUUUUCUCUGAUGUCGUAACCCUAAUUCUUUUGUAAUAUGUUCAGGCAUUUACUGAAAAUCAAACUAUCUAUGAUUUAUAUUACUUGCCCAAAUAACUUGAUGCCCCUUAUGUGGCCUGAAUUGUCCAGUACCCUUGCUAAAUCUGUUUUGUAAGUUAUCUCACCCCAUGGUGCAUCAUCACAAAAUAUCUUCAAUAAAGAACAAUGCCUCGCAUUGAAAAAGUCACGCUACUAUUGCUCUUUACUACAAUACACAUUUUUGUUUACUGUUCCGAGUAUGAAAUGCACUAUUGAUGAAAUGUAUGCAGUGAGAUAUAUAGUAGAAGAUGGAUUUGCAUUUGGCCAUAUCUAUGACUAAACGAAAGCGAAACUGGGCUCAGCCUGAAUAAUUCUAUUACUUAUCGAAAGACAGUACAAAGUUCCAACAAAUACAAACUCCCUGGUGUUAGAGGGUUCCAAAAUAAUCCACCUAAAGGGGAACGGGCAGUUGUACAGAAUGAGAAGAGAGAAAAAACCUAUGAGCGCUCAGGGAGCUGCCAUACAUGUAAAAUUUAAGAGAAGACUGGUAAGUUCUCUAAAUGUUCAGUUCUUGACAAAAAAGGAUGAAACAACAUGUCAUUCAUAAUGCUUACCCUAAGCUGGACCGGAAAUAAUAAACAGAUCCACUAUAAAUAACAAAGCUCAUGGAGAUGGAUCUAGUAAAACAACAAAGAGGCAGCCAAUAAUAUGUGGGGCAUAAAAAACUAUGCGGCACAUGACAACCAGAGCAGCAAAGAAGAAACAUG